rnacentral:rRNA from 1 species
UCCCAGGGCCUAACUAUCUUAAAAGCACCAGGUCCCACCUAAUCUUGUAAGCUAAGUAAGGUCAGCCCUGAUUAACACCUGGAUGGGAGAUUGCCAAGGAAUAUCACUGGGCUUUAUUUC